CGGAUAAAUGAUGACAAGUGGUGGCAUAUGGGUCCUGGAUGAUGAACACCACGGGUCAGGAACUGAGGGGUCCAA
ensembl:snoRNA